GUAGCUGGCCAUGGGAAAGACAAGGCAAAGGAAAACCCAGCUUCUGCCAUGUCCUUCAGAAGGAAGCCAGAAACACAGGCCCAGCAGCUCCUGGCAAGCCUCACAGGCCAUAGGCACCGGUUUGGCCUCUGCUACUUUAUUUGGAUGUGUGUAUGCUCUCAGAAUAGGAGACCCCAUGAAGGACAGGAACUGUGUUGAGGCUGCUCUGGGCCUGGAUCUGCUGCUGACUUCAAAGCAUGAACCUUCAUUCCUUCUUAACAUGACCAGCAAAGUGUGGCCUUCCUGUCUGCGUGUCCUAGUGACCUAGAUAAGAUGUCUGCAGAGGCCAGCCUUCAACAAGUCUGUGGGUGUCACCUUUCUUAUCUGUCAAAUGGAAGUAAGGCACUGUCUGGCAGCCAGGAAGCCACGAGGAUCCGGUGAAUCCCAGGUCGGGGCUGGACAGAGGACAGACGUUCCGGAAAUGGCUUCUGCCUCCCCUGCCCUUUAGCUUUUAUGGGCACACGCUCUUUUCUGUUUAAAAACACUGUAUAGUUUUGAAGUC